GGGGUUGUAGCUCAGUGGUAGAGCCCUUGCCUCCCACGUGUGAAACCCUGAGUUCGAUCCUCAGCACCA
rnacentral:tRNA from 1 species